AGCAGCCGCGGUAAUUCCAGCUCCAAUAGCGUAUAUUAAAGUUGUUGCAGUUAAAAAGCUCGUAGUUGAAUUUCGGGGUUAGUAGGUUGGUCAUGCCUCUGGUAUGUACUGGUCUCACUGAUUCCUCCUUCCUGAUGAACCUUAAUGCCAUUAAUUUGGUGUUUUGGGAUUUGGACUGUUACUUUGAAAAAAUUAGAGUGUUUAAAGCAAGCUAACGCUUGAAUACAUUAGCAUGGAAUAAUGAAAUAGGACGUUCGAUCCUAUUUUGUUGGUUUCUAGGAUUGACGUAAUGAUUAAUAGGGAUAGUUGGGGGCAUUAGUAUUCAAUUGUCAGAGGUGAAAUUCUUGGAUUUAUUGAAGACUAACUACUGCGAAAGCAUUUGCCAAGGAUGUUUUCAUUAAUCAAGAACGAAAGUUAGGGGAUCGAAGACGAUCAGAUACCGUCGUAGUCUUAACCAUAAACUAUGCCGACUAGGGAUCGGAUGAUGUUAAUUUUUUAAUGACUCAUUCGGCGCCUUACG
rnacentral:rRNA from 1 species